rnacentral:misc_RNA from 1 species
GAUGAAGAACGUAGCGAAAUGCGAUAAGUAAUGUGAAUUGCAGAAUUCAGUGAAUCAUCGAAUCUUUGAACGCACAUUGCGCCCGCUGGUAUUCCGGCGGGCAUGCCUGUUCGAGCGUCAUUUCAACCCUCAAGCUCUCCGGAGUUUGGUGUUGGGGCGCCUGGGGCUUUUCGACCUCAGGGCCCUCAAGUCCAUCGGCGGGACCGCCAGGACACUGAGCGCCGUAGUAUUAUUUCGCUCGGUAGGAUCUUCCACGGCGGGUCGAUCUGGCCGCUAAACCCCCCAAUUCUCACCAAAGGUUGACCUCGGAGCAGGUAGGAAUACCCGCUGAACUUAAGCAUAUCAAUAAGCGGAGGA